AUGGAGGUUGACAGGGUUGUUCUCAAGAAUGCUCCACAAAACUGCAAGAUGACUCACCAUGAUAUACAACAAGAGGUGAUAAAAAAUUGCGCAGAGGAGACUACUAAACUAAUCAUUGAAGAACUUGAUGGUGGUCAUUUUGCAAUACUUGCAGAUGAGUCUAGUGAUGUGUAUCAGAAUGAACAGUUGGCUGUUUGCUUGCGUUAUGUUGAAAAGAAAGGAAGGGCGGUUGUAAGAUUUCUUGGUCUUGCUCAUGUUGAAGAUACUAGCUCUUUGACACUUAAAGCUGCAAUUCAGAAACUGCUUAUGACACACAAUUUGACCUUUGCAAUGGUUCUUGGGCAAGGAUAUGAUGGAGCUAGUAACAUGAAAGGUAAUGUUAAUGGCCUAAAAAAACUGAUUAUGGAUGAGUCCCCUUCUGCCUAUUAUGUUCAUUGUUUUGCUCAUCAACUACAGUUAACUCUUGUUGCUGUUGCUAAGGAGAGUGGUGAUUGCACUUGGUUCUUUCAGCAACUUGCACACUUGUUAAAUGCUCUUAGCAUGUCUUGUAAAAAUAUGAGAAUGCUUCGGAUAGCUCAGGCCGAGGAACUCAUUGAUGCAUUGGAAUUGGAAGAAGUGGAAACAGGGACUGGGAUGAAUCAGGAAAUGGGUUUGGGAAGGCCAUGUGAUACACGUUGGGGCUCUCACUUCAAAACCGUGAACCAUGUCAUCUCUAUGUAUGGUGCACUACGACGAGUCCUCAUCAAGAUUGGAGACGAGUAUCAUGGUGCGGAGGCCCAAGCGGCUCUAACUAUAUUGACACCAUUUCGAUCAUUUGAGUUUGUUUUCAUAGCACACUUGAUGCAAGAAAUAUUUGGAUACACGGAUGAGCUGUGUAGAGCUUUGCAAAAGCAAGAUGAAGAUAUUGUUCAUGCUAUUGAGCUUGUUGAUGUCACAAAGUAUCACUUGGAGUGUUUGAGGACCGACGCUGGAUGGGAUGAUUUUCUCACAAAGGUCACAUGUUUUUGUACAAAGCAUAAGAUCAAAGUUGUUGAUAUGAAGGGUCCUUACUUUCCCGUUGGCCAGCCUAAAAGGGGUUUAUGUAAUGGUGCGAUGAAUUACCACCGUUUCAAAGUUGAUAUGUUUGUGGCUAUCAUUGAUAGGCAAAUAAGUGAACUCAAUGGCAGAUUUGAUGAGAUAUACACAGAGCUACUUUCUUGCAUGGCAGCAUUUUGUCCACUUCGUCUAUUUGCUGUUUAUGAUCAGGAGAAGUUGGUUAGGCUUGCUACAAAAUUUUAUGCUAAUGAUUUCACAAGUGAUGAACUGGCAAGACUUCCAUGGCAACUAAACAUGUAUGUUACUCAUGUGCGUAGAGAUGAAAGGUUUCAAAACUUAAAGAAUCUAUGUCAACUUUCAGUUAUGCUUGUAGAGACAAACAAGCAUGAACAAUAUCAUAUUGUUUACAAGCUUCUUAAGUUGGUAUUGAUUCUGCCAGUUGCUACUGCUAGUGUUGAAAGGGUAUUCUCUUCAAUGAAUUAUGUGAAGAAUAAGCUAAGGAGCAAAAUGGGUGAUGAUUACUUAAGCAAUUGUUUGGUUACAUUUGUUGAGAGAGAAUUCUUCAAUCAAGUAAAGGAUGAGGAUGUCAUCAAUCGUUUCCAGAAAGGCAACCGCAAAGUUAUAUUGUAA
rnacentral:rRNA from 1 species